CGCUGGCGGCGUGCUCCAGACAUGCAAGAAAAACGCGAAAGCUUCCUUCGGGGAGCAAGUAGAGUGGCGCAUGGGCCGAGUAACACGUAGGUAAUCUACCUUUGGAUUGGGAAUAACAACCGGAAACGGUUGCUAAUACCGAAUAAUGCAGCGGCACCUAAUGGUGACAGUUGUUAAAGCGGGGGAUCGCAAGACCUCGCGUCUGAAGAGGAGCCUGCGGCGGAUUAGCUAGUUGGUAAGGUAACGGCUUACCAAGGCGACGAUCUGUAGCCGGCCUGAGAGGGCGGUCGGCCACACUGACACUGACAUACGGGUCAGACUCCUACGGGAGGCAGCAGU
rnacentral:rRNA from 1 species